AAGGGCGCCCACUCGAGAUAACGUCGCCAGCUUUUGUCACAUGGCGCUGGACUCCCUCCCUGCCAAAGAAAAACUUGGGCCAGUGCCUGCUGGCAUUUGAUUUCCUAACGCUCUUGGCUGUGUUAGCCAGGAAAAUAGCCUCUAAUCAAGUAAUUUGCAACCUGGGCAGGAGACACGCAUCAUGAUAAUUAUCCAAACAAGCCCAGAUAUAAACAGCAUAGUAAAAGUUUCCAAGAAUUACCUGGAGGACUGGUAAUAGAAGAGACAAAAUGCCUCUCAUCGAAGAUAAACAUCUUGAGACCACUUAAGAAGUCUACACCCCUACCCUUUGUCACAUUCCUGAAAAAUCCUUAAAAGGGGAAAAACCCCAUCUUUCAGUGCACCUCUUCUCUGAGGUAGCCCACACUCCCCAUUCUCCGAGUGUGCACUUUUGCCUUAAAUAAAACUUUUUCUCAGCCUCUCAGGGCACCUCUCUCUGAGGUUACCCGCAUUUUCUUUUUCUUUAAAUAAAAAAACCUCUCAGGUUUUUCUGAAGUCCCCUGCACUUUUUCUCAACCUUUCAGGGUGUGCCUCUCCUCUCUGAGGUUGCCUGUGUACUUUUUCUCUUUGUGUAACUUUAUUAAAUAAAACUGCUUCACUACUGUG